UUGCAAACUCGAUCACUAGCUCUGCAUGAUGUUGCAGAAGCAAGGGGAACAGGUUUGCUAAAAUAAACAUGGUCAUAGAACGUGUAUUACCCUCAGAAAUAUAAUUGCUUGGGCUGUUAAUUCUAUGUCAGGAUAAGG